GUUUGCAGUGAUGGCAGAGUCCCUUACUGAAGCUGUUUCCAUUUCUGAUGGCAGGCACUGCCUGUGUGAUAUUCCUGAAUACAGAGGUUCCUUACUUCACACAAAAUGAGAGAGUCACAGUGUUGUGUCUUGCCAGUGCCUUCAUCAAAGCUCUAUGGAAAGUCCUUCAGCUUUUAGAUGAACCAGCAGACCUUGUCUCUCUCUCCUGACUCUGUAAAUGGAAGCAAAGCUGGUGUGGUAGUGGAGUUGCUUACUACCUUUUCUCUCUUGCAGCAGCAUUUGGAAAAGCUGAAUGAAAGUCUGGCAUCUUGUACAUCCAAUGGCACUGCCAAGAUUCUGACACAGAGGUACCUUGGGGUUUUCAUAAUGAAGUGGAAAGAAAUUAAGAACUGAUGGGAAUCUGCGAAAGAAAAUGCAACACAACUGGAAAGCAUUGCAAGGUCAGGUUGCAGAAGUGUGAUCCCACAUGUGGGUGGAGGCAAGGGAAAGAAGCUGUUAAAUUUACUAUUGUAUUUUUGCCUGAAGCAAUAAAAGGAGCCUGUCUGUUCAAAGCAAGAUAGUCAGCACUGCAAAACCUGGUGGAACAUUUUCCCCA